rnacentral:misc_RNA from 1 species
GCUCCUACCGAUUGAGUGAUCCGGUGAAUAAUUCGGACUGACGCAGUGCUCAGCUUCUGGACGUUGUGUCGGAAAGUUUCAUGAACCUUAUCACUUAGAGGAAGGAGAAGUCGUAACAAGGUUUCCGUAGGUGAACCUGCAGAAGGAUCAACACCAUGGGAGUUGGCUUGACCCGAAGACGGUGCGCUAACCUUUUAGGAGGCAGCCGGCCACGGUCAGGUCAGCGACUGGGGUGAAGUCGUAACAAGGUAGCCGUAGGUGAACCUGCAGAAGGAUCA